rnacentral:rRNA from 1 species
GGACUACAAGGGUUUCUAAUCCUGUUUGCUCCCCUAGCUUUCGUUCCUCAGCGUCAGUAACGGUCCAGCGCGCCGCUUUCGCCACGGGUGUUCCUGCAGAUAUCUACGCAUUUCACCGCUACACCUGCAAUUCCACGCGCCUCUCCCACACUCCAGCACAGCAGUUUCGGAAGCAGCCUCUGAGUUGAGCCCAGAGAUUUCACUCCCGACUUGCCACACCGCCUACGAACCCUUUACACCCAGUAAUUCCGAACAACGCUGGCCCCCUACGUCUUACCGCGGCGGCUGGCAC